AAUCAACGCUGGCGGCGUGCCUCAGACAUGCAAGUCGAACGAUUAAAGCUCCCUUCGGGGAGUGCAUAGAGUGGCGCACGGGUGAGUAACACGUAAGUAAUCUACCUUUGAGUGGGGAAUAACGUUCGGAAACGGACGCUAAUACCGCAUAAUGCAGCGGCAUCGCAAGAUGACAGUUGUUAAAGGAGCAAUCCGCUUAAAGAGGAGCUUGCGGCAGAUUAGCUUGUUGGUAAGGUAACGGCUUACCAAGGCUACGAUCUGUAUCCGGUCUAAGAGGACGGUCGGACACACUGACACUGAAUAACGGGUCAGACUCCUACGGGAGGCAGCAGUCGGGAAUUUGGGCAAUGGGCGAAAGCCUGACCCAGCAACGCCGCGUGAAGGAUGAAGUAUUUCGGUAUGUAAACUUCGAAAGAAUAGAAGAAUAAAUGACGGUACUAUUUAUAAGCUCCGGCUAACUACGUG
rnacentral:rRNA from 1 species